GAUGAACGCUGGCGGCGUGCUUAAUACAUGCAAGUCGAACGAAUGGAUGUCUAGCUUGCUAGACUGAGGUUAGUGGCGAACGGGUGAGUAAUACAUAGGCAAUCUGCCCUGAAGUGUGGGAUAGCUAUUGGAAACGAUAAUUAAUACCGCAUAGGUAGUAGGAAGGCAUCUUCCUACUAUUAAAGAUGCGUCUGCAUCGCUGCAGGAUGAGCUUAUGGUGUAUUAGCCAGUUGGUGAGAUAAAAGCCCACCAAGGCUAUGAUACAUAGCUGGUCUGAGAGGAUGAACAGCCACAUUGGGACUGAGACACGGCCCAGACUCCUACAGGAGGCAGCAGUAAGGAAUUUUCGGCAAUGGGGGCAACCCUGACCGAGCAACGCCGCGUGAGUGAUGAAGGUCUUCGGAUCGUAAAACUCUGUUGUAAAGGAAGAAUGUCAUAUAUAGGAAAUGAUAUAUGAGUG
rnacentral:rRNA from 1 species